AUUGCAAGUUCAAAGCCAGCCUGGGCAACUUAUGUGUCUUAAAAAUAAAAUGAAAGGAACAAGUGGGAUGUAUCUCAGAGGUAGAGAGCUCCUGGGUCCAGUUCCCCAUACCAAAAAUAUAGGGUAAAUAAGGACUAGACAGAGGGCAGACUGACCUCGGUCCCAAGGCCUCCCCCCUACCCUACCCCCACCAGGUGCUGGUAUACACAGAGCAGUGUGGCGGCUCUUAGACCAGGCACAGGAAGUGUCGCACCAAACCAUAGGCCCCUGGCCCCUCUCAUUUAUUUUAUUUUCCCAGAAAUGAUUUUUCCAGCAGGAAGGGUCUGAGACAGAGUUAGAAAUAGCUGAGCCCUGUUUCCAGUUGAGCAGGUUCUGCAGAUGUGUGCUGGGAUAAUUGAGGGUUUGCUCCCAGCCCAACCCGGACCCAGGCUUUCGUUGCCGUGUGGGUGGAGGGAGCUGCUGCCCGGGGGCUGCCAUUUGGGGGAAAGCAAGAGAUCUUAGCUCCAGCUCCUCCCAGCAGGAGCUUGGCGUCCUGCCCACUUCUCUCCCUCCCCAGGGAAAUCAGAUCCAAAAGUCUGUAGAGUUCCUUGGAAGGCCUUGCCCUGCCCCUGGACUGAAGGGAGGGGCCUGUCAAGCUGUCCUCAGCUGCCCGGACCAUGCGCAGAAGCUCCCCUUGUAGCAGGGACCUAUUCUGAGCUCUUGGUCUGUUCUUGCUGAUCUUACUCCCCAUGGUUCACAAGGACCCUCCUCCCAGAAGGAAAGCUUCGUCACAGGAGUCACACAGCAGUGUGGAGUGCUGCACCGCGCUGGAAAUGUGUUCUGUGGAUUCAGGUCUGACUUGGCUCAUGGUGUAACUGGCUGUCCCCUUAGGGGCAGCCCCUGAGGUACACUGGGGUAAUCACAGGAGCUGCCAGCAUCGAGCUGCCUCCCUGAAGGUUGGUCAGCUACCUGCUCAUCUACCCCAGGGCCACGCGUGGGCACAAGUACUUCCUUAGCACCACCAACUUCAGCACAGGUGCGGCACUGCCUUGCUGUUCUGGAGGCUGAUGGACCCACGCACGGAGCAGGAGGGCAGGCGAGGAGGUGCCAGUGUCUCCUGCACCUGCUACACCAGGCCUGCCAGAGAGCAGCAGGUGUCGAAGCUGAAAGCAAACCUCUGAUGUGUAGCGUCCCUGUGCCCAGGACUCUGGGACCCCACAGCAUCUAUGGGCACUCCUAGAAUGUCCCAACGCCUGGAAUUCUGCAGUAUGGCUUUUUCCACUUCGCAGUCUGCAUGUAAGGUCUUUUCCUGCCUUGAUUACUCACUUCUUUUCAUCACUGAGUAAAUCUCGUUGCCUGGGUUGUGUGUCUGUGUUCACCUACUGAAGGACAGCUUGGUUCCCAGUUUGGGUCAUUAUGAAUAAAGCUUCCAGAAACAAUUUUAAAAUGUGAAAACCGUUCUCAGCUCAUAGGCCACACAGAAACAGGCUGGAGGCAGGAUUUGGCCCAUGGUCUGCCAUUUGCCAACAUCUGCCUCAUAGAACUUCCCUCCUUUCAUUUCUGCAUGUUGGAUUGACCUUCACGGGGCCUCCAGGGAAGCAAAAGUAGCCUUAAGCACCCUUUGUCCUGGGUGGCUUGGCGUUUCUGUGUCUCCUGCCUCCCCACCCUCUAGUCCUUGCUGCACCCACCAAGCCUCAGCCGCUCCCUGGGCACACAGUGGUCUGACCUGGGCCUGCAUGGAGCCCACAGGCAAACAGCCAGGCCAUGCAUCCUCACAGUUGUUGAAACUGUGAGUCUCCCAGAUGGGGAAGUUGUGACAGUCGUGGGAAAAUCAAGACCAUGGGCUUCACUUUGCCUCAGCGGCAGGGCUGGCCUGAGGCAGAUGACUGUAGCCUCACUUUCCUCAAUAGCAGGUGACCUUCCUUCUUAGGUGUCUGGAGGUGAUGAACAAGGAGUUCAGGUGGCCCCAGCCUCCCACCUCAUGUCACCCUCAUAGUCUCUCCCAUGUGCCUGUGGCACAUGCACAAGCCUGGCCCUCCAUGAAAGUUGACAAAACUGGGUUGGGGGGCCUGGGGCAGGUCAGACUGAGGCCCUGACCCUGGAGAUGAGUGGAGCCCUGUCUGCUGCAAGGAGUCUUCCCAACUCCCAACUCCAUGUCCCCUGCAUAUUCAUGCUCACAGACAAGCAACACACACCUGUGUGUACACAUGUGCUUGUGCCUGGCAGUCCUCCACUUUUCCCACUGAGCCCAUUAUAUACU